CAAUACGUUAUCAGCACGCUCUUAACGCUGCGCUAAAGAGAGUUUAUUCUUCAAUUAGUGGAGUAUUACGUUCUAAUCAUUCCUAUUAUGAUUAAUUUAUUAUUUUGAAUUGAUCUACAUGCUAUUGAUUCAAUUUAAUUUUUCUAUGUUGAACGUGAUACAACGCAUUGGAGAUACAAUUCUGGCUUUCUGAGAAGGAUUUUUUACAAAUUUAAAGGCUUUUAUUGUUUUCUGCCGAUUAGGUACGCUUAAAAUAAAGUAAGAUAUUUGAAACGACCUUGAAGCAUGAAAACAUUCCCCAUGAUGCUUGAACCCCCCUAUGUUUAUAUUUUCCUUCCGAUAUAUAUAUUGUAUAUGUUCAUAUAUUUGUCAAUAUAUAUAUUUGUUUCAUGCAUUACAUAAUUCAAUUACUAUGUAGAAUUGUGAGUCAAAGUAUAUUCAUAAAUUAGAAGCAAACUUAGGGUUUGUAAAACCCUAACAAUGUCGAAACUUUUUGCGAUGGACCUUGGCAACAGCCCUCUGCGCAUUGCUAUGAGCACAUGGAUCCUAGGCCGAAUGCCUGGUUGGUUUGACUUUGUCCCGUAGCCCACCAAAGAAAAACUUGUAGUUUUUUCUUGGCCCUAUUGUCCCGAGUCCCUUAACCCAGAAUUA
rnacentral:lncRNA from 1 species